rnacentral:misc_RNA from 1 species
GAUGAAGAACGUAGCGAAAUGCGAUACUUGGUGUGAAUUGCAGAAUCCCGUGAACCAUCGAGUCUUUGAACGCAAGUUGCGCCUCAAGCCAUUAGGUUGAGGGCACGUCUGCCUGGGCGUCACAUAUCGUUGCCUGAUGCCAGUUUCCUCGUGAUGGGUGACUGUGCAGGGCGAAUGAUGGCUUCCCGUGAGCAUUGUUGCCUCAUGGUUGUUUGAAAAUUGAGUCCUUGGUAGGGAGCGCCGUGAUAGAUGGUGGUUGAGUGACGAACGAGACCCAAUCAUGUGAGACCCCUACCGAAUUUGGCCUUCAUGACCCACAUGCGUCUUUGGAACGCUCAUGACGAGACCUCAGGUCAGGCGGGGCUACCCGCUGAGUUUAAGCAUAUCAAUAAGCGGAGGA